GGCGGCGCGGGACGGCGCCAUGGAGGACGGCGUGCUCAAGGAGGGCUUCCUCGUUAAGAGGGGUCACAUUGUCCACAACUGGAAAGCGCGGUGGUUCAUUCUUCGGCAGAACACGCUGCUAUAUUACAAGUUCCAGGGGGGUCGGAAAGUGACCCCUCCCAAGGGCCGCAUCCUUCUGGACGGCUGCACCAUUACCUGCCCCUGCCUGGAGUAUGAAAACCGACCGCUCCUCAUUAAGCUGAAAACUCAAACAUCCACGGAGUACUUCCUGGAGGCCUGUUCUCGAGAGGAGAGGGACGCCUGGGCCUUCGAGAUAACAGGAGCCAUCCACGCGGGGCAGCCGGGGAAGGUCCAACAGCUUCAUCUACUGAAGAACUCCUUCAAGCUGCCACCUCACAUCAGCCUGCAUCGCAUCGUGGACAAGAUGCGUGACAGUAGCUGUGGAAUCCGGCCAAGCCCCAACAUGGUGCAGGGAAGCACCUACAAAAAGACCUUCAUAGGCUCCUCCCUGGUGGAUUGGCUCCUCUCCAGCGGCUUUGCAGCCAGCCGUCUGGAGGCUGUGACGCUGGCCUCGGUGCUCAUGGAGGAGAACUUCCUUCGGCCAGUAGGCACCCGAAGCACGGGAGCCAUUCGCUCGGGGGAUCUGUCUGAGCAGUUCCUGGAUGACUCCACGGCCCUGUACACAUUCGCUGAGAGCUGCAAGAAGAAGAUAAGUCCCAAGGAAGAAAUCAGUCUCAGUACCAUGGAGUUAAGUGGCACUGUGGUGAAGCAAGGCUAUCUGGCCAAGCAGGGGCACAAGAGGAAAAACUGGAAGGUGCGGCGCUUUGUUCUGAGGAAGGACCCGGCUUUUCUGCAUUACUACGACCCUUCCAAAGAAGAGAACCGGCCAGUGGGUGGGUUUUCUCUUCGUGGCUCCCUGGUGUCAGCUCUGGAGGAUAAUGGCGUUCCUGCUGGGGUUAAAGGGAAUGUCCAAGGAAAUCUCUUCAAAGUGAUUACUAAGGAUGACAUACACUACUAUAUCCAGGCCAGCAGCAAGGCUGAGCGUUCAGAGUGGAUUGAAGCUAUCAAGAAGCUAACGUGACAAGGCCCUGAGGGAACGGGACUGAGAUUCCUCCCUCUUACCAGAUGACACAGGAUUUCCCGGACAAUGGGAGUAUGUUAAAAUUUUUAACUUUUUAUAUUUCGUAUGGCUUUGGAGUGAGAUUGAGGGAGUUCCUUAAAGUUGGCAGUGGUGCUAUUGCCUUCCCCACCUUCAUUUACAGUUAACCUGUAAAUGCUGAAGCAGCCUUGUCAGCCAAGUCAGCACCUUGACUUUCGCCCAUUAUCACAUCCAGCCCCUCCUUGGGUACCAAAGUAGGUCUCCCUUGUCACACUAACUGGUCCAUGUAAUACUCAACAAAACACUAUAACCUCAUGAUGGAGCUCUCCGAAAUGCUGUCAGCACCUCUUAACUCCUUUGGAAUGAAUAAAAAUUGACACUUGUUCCUGGCUGUU
rnacentral:lncRNA from 1 species